CGCCUUGACGACAAGGUGGAAGAAGCAGUUUUGGACACGAUUAGCCAGGAGGCAUACGGCAAAGGAUAUGGAGUGGUAUCGGUGUUCUUUCUUCACUCACUCUAUGGCUUGGAGGUGAACAAUUACGAGCUAUAUUUGAACUUCAUUGACAAAUAUACCGCAUUCCGCAUAGAG